ensembl:snRNA U1 U1 spliceosomal RNA
AUACUUAGCUGGCAGGGGAGAUACCAUGAUCCUGAAGGUGGUUUUCCCAGGGUGAGGCUUAUCCAUUGUACUCUGGAUAUACUGACCCCUGAGAUUUCCCCAAACGUGGGAAACUUGACUGCAUCAUUUGUGGUAGUGGGGGACUGCGUUCGUGCUUUUCCCUG